GACGAACGCUGGCGGCGUGCCUACUACAUGCAAGUCGAACGCAGUGGGGACGGGUGAGUAACACGUCGGUAACCUCCCCUCAGAGGGGAUAACACUUGGAUACAGGUGCUAAACCGAUACCGAUGGAUGGACCCUCGGUGCAUUAGCUAGUUGGUGAGGUAACGGCUCACCAAGGCCACGAUGCAUCGCGAAGCAGACGGGGUGAUCGGCCACACGGGGACUGGGACACAGCCCAGACUCCGACGGUAGGCAUCAGUGGGGAAUCUUCGGCAAGGGACGAAAGUCUAACCGAGCAACGCCGCGUUAGGGAAGAAGGUUUUCGGAUCGUAAAACUCGGUUGUUAGAGAAGCGGUAUCUAACCAGAAAGACCCGACUAACUACGUGCCAGCAGCCGCGGUAAUAC
rnacentral:rRNA from 1 species